GAGUUAGGGAUGGACCCCUUUGGUAGGGAAGUACUUUUCCAAAGGCAGAAAGGAGGUGUCAGCCCCUCUCCCUCUGCAGGUGAACUCACUUCUCUGGACUGGGUUAGAGCCUGAACUCUCAACACCAGGUUUGCAAAAGGCUUAGGGUGACCCCAGAGACCCCCAAUCCACAGGCAGCCUCCCAGUGGAUUAAAGCCUCCAUUGAAUGCCUGCUGACCAGUAACCAGGGCAGAGCAGGGCAAAGUGGAUGCCCCUCACCCCUCGCCAGCCAGGCAGGGAAGGGCAGGCUCUCUCAGGGGCUUGUGUCCUUGAUGGGAAUCUGCAUACUGGGGGUCCCCUAGUCCCGAGUCAGGCGCUCCCGCUCAUGCCCCGACUGCCUCAGCUGGAAGGACCUGGGCCAGUCCUGAUUCUUCUAACACGAUGUCUGUCCCAGUCACGGUUCUGUUGCUGCUCCCUCAGUCCCAUCUGCGACGGUGGGUCCUGACUUGGCACCCCUCAUGAAUUUGCGUGUCACACCUAGGGGGUGUCACCAUGAGUCAGAAUCUACUCAGUGCGAACGACUAACAACCCUCUAUGACCUUGGUUGCCAUCUCACCUCUGGGGGCCGGCGUUUCCUCUGUGACACAGAGUGUUCAUUCCAGAACUACCUGCCUACCCUCUGGGGUUUGUUGGGAGCGGUUGACUGGGCCAAGUUUGCAAAUGCCUGUUGUAAACCGGCCAGCUCUGUGGACUUGUCUUUAAUUAAUCAGCUUGGACACCCAGUUGAUGGCAGACCGACUCUCAGAGGCAGGGUGGGGAUAGGGGCGUCUCCUGCUUAUUCAGUGAAGUCCAGAGUCCUUUGGGGUGUGAUUCCUGUUCAGUCACGACUUGUCUUCUGGGACCGUUGGCAGUCCAUGCGCCCUCCCAUUUCUCUCUUGCCGUCGAAGGAUUCCUCCUGCAUGACUGUAAGGGGCCCAUUGCAGCUCUGGUAUCCCGUGACCUGGCAUGAAAGGUCAGCCUGCUGGCCACCAUCAAUCUGUGGCACUUGUCAUCCCUGCAGCUGCCCUACUCUGAGCAUUUUUACACGUGUCAGCUCAGGCUU